rfam:Gossypium raimondii Chr04_contig_753, whole genome shotgun sequence.
UGUUAAAAUUUUUAUUUAUUUGUAUUAUUAAAAACCGGUGUGACUAAUGGAAUAAUUAGAAAGUGACACAUGACAUGCCACAUGUACCUUACACUAAUAUACAAAGACCAAUUUUUAAUAGUAGAAUUGGAUGAAAUUUUUAAUA